GAUGAACGCUGGCGGCGUGCUUAAUACAUGCAAGUCGAGCGAAGCGCUUUAACGGAAUUCUUCGGAAGGAAGAUAAAGUGACUGAGCGGCGGACGGGUGAGUAACGCGUGGGUAACCUGCCUCAUACAGGGGGAUAACAGUUAGAAAUGGCUGCUAAUACCGCAUAAGCGCACAGGACCGCAUGGUCUGGUGUGAAAAACUCCGGUGGUAUGGGAUGGACCCGCGUUGGAUUAGGUAGUUGGUGGGGUAACGGCCUACCAAGCCGACGAUCCAUAGCCGGCCUGAGAGGGUGGACGGCCACAUUGGGACUGAGACACGGCCCAGACUCCUACGGGAGGCAGCAGUAGGGAAUAUUGCACAAUGGGGGAAACCCUGAUGCAGCGACGCCGCGUGAAGGAAGAAGUAUCUCGGUAUGUAAACUUCUAUCAGCAGGGAAGACAAUGACG
rnacentral:rRNA from 1 species